GGCCCUGUAGCUCAGUUGGUAGAGCAAUGGAUUGAAAAUCCAUGUGUCGGCGGUUCGACUCCGCCUGGGGCCACCA
rnacentral:tRNA from 1 species